GAUGAAGAACGCAGCGAAAUGCGAUAAGUAAUGUGAAUUGCAGAAUUCAGUGAAUCAUCGAAUCUUUGAACGCACAUUGCGCCCGCCAGUAUUCUGGCGAGCAUGCCUGUUCGAGCGUCAUUUCAACCAUCAAGCCCCAGGCUUGUGUUGGAGCCCUGCGGCUGCCGCAGCCUCCCAAAACCAGUGGCGGGCUCGCUAUCACACCGAGUGCAGUAGUUUACUCUUCGCUCAGGGCGUGUGGCGGGUGCUAGCCGUGAAACCCACAACUUCUCAAGGUUGACCUCGGAUCAGGUAGGAAUACCCGCUGAACUUAAGCAUAUCAAUAAGCGGAGGA
rnacentral:misc_RNA from 1 species